UCACUCGGGGCUGUAUUUUUGAGGUAAUGAUUUCACAUUCCAAUAACAAGCUGAAGGAGUACAUGACCCUCCGUAUUGAACUUAAAAUAACUGGUCAAAAAUCCUCUUUUUUUUAAUUUAGAAUUGGAGAUCACCUUUUGAAAUUAAGAGGUACCAUUAGUAAAGAUGUUUAUGAUUCAAUCUCUUUUGCACAUCUUUUUUUUUUCCUAAUCUUCUUACUCUGAAAUACAGUGGUGUUAUGAGGGAGUAAAAAGAAAGUUUUUCCAAAGAGAGCAAUCAUUUUAUUUUUACCAGAUAAUUAAAACAUUUGAUUUCUCAGUUCAAAAUCACUUAGCUCUAUCAUCAUUUUCCUUCUGUAACUCACGUGAGCUCUGUAAAAACCAGGAAAAAAGUUUUAUACAUUCUACCUAUUUUUAAGUGUCCUUCUGUUUUUAACUGACUAUAAAUGCACUACAGUCUUUGGUGGCCUCCAGGUUUAUAAAGUUUCUAAUGAUGUCAAAAAAGCGGGAGCUAAUGUUUCAGCCAUUCACCUGGCAAAUUAGUGAAAUUUUAAGGUCACUUGGGGCUUUACCAGUUCAUUUAUGGUUAUAAAACAGUGAGGAAAGUUUAGAAUUUUUUUUUUUAAUUCUGCAGAUUUAAUAAUUAUUUCCUGAGUAGCUGGUUUAAAACAACAGCAACAAAAUAAUGGGAAAUACGGCCCUUUUCACAAGUGGAACAACUCACUUCAUGUGGGUGGUAGGGACCUGACAUUUCCAUCUCUGUAGGCUUGAAAUGGAAAUGAUGUUUUACAAAUUAUAUGCAUGGACAUAUUUAUUCUAAACCCAAGGAAGGAUGUACAAUCUACAUAUGCAGUCCUUAUUUUCAAUUUGAUUAGAAACCAUACUUGCCUUAAGGAACGAGUGUUGUUUGUGAGAAUAAUUCUGUGUUAGAAUAUGCGUAACUUUUCAGAUCUGCUUUCUGUUUCUGACGUCGGUGCAGCAGAGGCCUUGUUUGUAGCUGCUUAUGAGUGUACAAGUGAUUCACAGCUGAGCAGCUCACUCAUAAAGGAAGCUUUGUGAGCCUCCUGGAAUAAUCUCUGGUGGAGAUGAUUUGCUGGCAGACGCAGGACAGGAGUUGGUUGGUGGUGCAGCUGGAGCUGUCCGUGUGCGGUGUCAUCAAUGGAGCAGAUCAUCACAGUCACUCCUGGUACCUGCUGGCCUGAGGGGGAGCUGGGUGGGAUUCAGCUCUGCCUCCUGCUGUGCCUGUAUCUGAAGCAGUGUCUAGUCAGUGUAGUCAGUGGUGGUGCAGUCAGGAGUCAGCAGAGCUCAGGUAUGGCAUCACUGACCAAAGGGAAGAGUCUUUCAGGAUGAGCUGGAUCACUCUUGACUCCAUAACCUCAGUGUGGAGGCACACAGUGAGGUGGGGCUGGGUACCUCUGCUCCCUGUCCUGUAAUAGGUAGAAAGAGUUUUGAAAGCCACACCACAUCUCCGUUCUGACAGUAAAAGUUAGGAGCAUGGAUGCUUUCCAAUUGCAAACUACUGCUCCUGGUUAUUAAUGCAAUAUAUACAGCAUAUAUAGACAAUACCUGAUUUUGGUCUUUGAUUACUUAGAUACAUAUGUAAGUUUGUACAAUGAAGUGUGGCUCUUAAGAUAGCUUUAGUGGCUUUUAGAGCGCAGAAAUUCAUAUAUGAUUAGAAAAUGUCUCUGCAUGAAAGCUAUAUAUUGUUGGGAGAUAUCCAUGUUUAUACAUAGAUGUCCUUACCAAAGCAUUACCUUUUCCAAAAUAAUCAUAACAGGUGAACUGGAUUUCUUACUGAUGGUUAUUGAUACUUUUAAAAUAUGUUGCAAUAGAAUAUAAGCACAGGAGUUGUUCAGAUGUUACCUUGAAAUAACUGCAAAAGAAAUUUGCUGUAAUUGUCAAUGUGGCAAUAAUGCAACAAUAAAGCAUGAAGUUGUA